AUUGAACGCUGGCGGCAGGCCUAACACAUGCAAGUCGAGCGGAUGAAGGGAGCUUGCUCCUGGAUUCAGCGGCGGACGGGUGAGUAAUGCCUAGGAAUCUGCCUGGUAGUGGGGGAUAACGUCCGGAAACGGGCGCUAAUACCGCAUACGUCCUGAGGGAGAAAGUGGGGGAUCUUCGGACCUCACGCUAUCAGAUGAGCCUAGGUCGGAUUAGCUAGUUGGUGGGGUAAAGGCCUACCAAGGCGACGAUCCGUAACUGGUCUGAGAGGAUGAUCAGGCACACUGGAACUGAGACACGGUCCAGACUCCUACGGGAGGCAGCAGUGGGGAAUAUUGGACAAUGGGCGAAAGCCUGAUCCAGCCAUGCCGCGUGUGUGAAGAAUGUCUUCGGAUUGUAAAGCACUUUAAGUUGGGAGGAAGGGCAGUAAGUUAAUACCUUGCUGUUUUGACGUUACCAACAGAAUAAGCACCGGCUAACUUCGUG
rnacentral:rRNA from 1 species